AAGUGCUACGCGGAGGAUUAGAGCAGGCGGUGCGCUGGGGGCGGGAGCAGCGCGGAGCCCGGCUCGGCCACACCGAUCGCCCGCCGCCAUGGGCUCCUCGCAAAGCGUCGAGAUCCCGGGCGGGGGCACCGAGGGCUACCACGUUCUGCGGGUACAAGAAAAUUCCCCAGGACACAGAGCUGGUUUGGAGCCUUUCUUUGAUUUUAUUGUUUCUAUUAAUGGUUCAAGAUUAGUAAGUUCAACUUUUUGUAGUUUUGUCUAUAGUAUUUGUAAUCUCUCAAAAAUGGAAUUUCUCAGAUGACCUGAGAUGGGUAUUUAUUAGUUACAAUCAUUAUGUGUAGUAUGCCAAUUUAUAGAAAUAAUCAUGUAUUAAUAAACAUUGAAAUAUCUAGAAUAUUAUACCUUAUGCUCCACUGAUUAUCUUAGGGAAGUCUCUAGAAUCAGUGGAGUCUUUUAUAUGUUAAAUAUUUAAUUUUUAUAAGCAGAAAGAAAUAAUUAAGAUGUAAAAGAUUGCUUUUUAAAGAUGUCAGACUUCUGUUGGUUGUUGACAAAUGGAUUACUAG
rnacentral:sRNA from 1 species